GAGCCGAAGCCAGAGGAAUUCUCUUCUUGAUGACUUGGUAGAGUCAUUUGGUGGUUCCUGGAAUGAUGCCCGCUACACUUGUAAUGGUUAAGUCUGGAAGCUUUAUAAUGAAGCGAUAGUUAAAUAAAUCUUGUAACAUGUCCUAUGUCUGUGUCUUCCAGCAUUCAGCUAUUUUGAAAUGGCCAACUCCAGAGUGUGAGAUGGUAGCAUACAGGUCCUUUAAUCCAUUCUUUCCACUACUUGGCUGUUUUACAACUCCUGGAGUCCAGCUGUGGGCAGUUUGGGCCAUGCAACAUGUCUGCAGCAAGAACCCUUCAAGGUAUUGCAGCAUGCUGAUUGAAGAAGGAGGACUACAGCAUUUGUACAACAUCAAAGAGCAUGAGCAGACAGAUCCCUAUGUCCAGCAGAUUGCUGUAGCCAUUCUGGACAGUUUAGAGAAACACAUUGUGCGCCAUGGAAGGCCCCCUCCCUGUAAAAAGCAGCCCCAGGCCCGACUGAAUUGAUAGCCAUAGAUAGUUGGGUACGAACAAACAGCAUUUUUGUGGUGGGUUCAUUUGGAAUAGCGUGCUCUCUGGUGUUUGGGGGCGGGGUGGGGUGUGUGUGGUAAGAGUCUGUGAUCCUUUGGAAUUGGUAAUGUACAGUACUGCCCAUGUGAACAGUCUGAUUUGUUUUGUGAUUUUUAACUUACGAGGCAAGAAAGGUCUUCCUUC
rnacentral:lncRNA from 1 species